rnacentral:rRNA from 1 species
UACGAAGGGGGCUAGCGUUGUUCGGAAUUACUGGGCGUAAAGCGCACGUAGGCGGACAUUUAAGUCAGGGGUGAAAUCCCGGGGCUCAACCCCGGAACUGCCUUUGAUACUGGGUGUCUUGAGUGUGGAAGAGGUGAGUGGAAUUGCGAGUGUAGAGGUGAAAUUCGUAGAUAUUGGGAAGAACACCGGUGGCGAAGGCGGCCAACUGGACCACAACUGACGCUGAGGCGCGAAGCGUGG